GUCCCGUCGCCUCGCAGCUUCAUCGCACUUUGGACUCCUGAACACCAAAGUGUCUUGUUGUUGACUCCACGGGAGCAAGUGGCGCUACAAGAAGAAGAAGAAGAAGAGGAGGAGGUGCAGGCGGGAUGGUCCCAUGAGGAGAUCACAGCACGCCACGGCGGCCAUGGAGAGGCUGAAUUGUCCCGGGGGUCGGGCGGGGGGCUGCUGCAGGGCCGCACGCGGGUGGCGAGCCCUGCUCCUGCCUCAGCAGAACCGCCAGUCGCUCUACAUGUAUGGCAGCGAGGUGGCCGUGGAGAAGGAGUGCAAGCGGCAGCUGCAGAGCGGCGUCUUUGUCAUCCACCCCUUCAGCCUAAUGAGGAGCUACUACAUCAUGGGCAUGAUGGCCGUCACCUUCCUCAACCUCAUCGGCAUCCCCAUGGAGAUCGCUUUCCUGGAUGGCCCCAGCGGGCUGGCGUGGGAAGGCUUCAACGUCUUCUCCGACACGCUCUUCCUCGUCGACGUGGCCCUCAACUUUCGCAUGGGCAUCAUCCCAGAGGACGGCGAGGAAGCUAUUCUGGACAUCAAGCAGAUCCGAGUGAGCUACCUGAGGACAUGGUUCAUUCCCGACGUUAUUGCCGCCUUCCCUAUCGGCUACAUACUGCUGUUUGCGGGCUUACACUACCACAAUGACGACAACCCUUCCAAGACCACCAGGAUGAUGAGGAUCCUCAUGUUUGUGCGCAUCCUCAGCCUGAUCCGACUGGCACGGGUGUCCAGGCUGGUCCGCUUCUUCAAUGAAGUUGAGAAAGUAUCCAACGCUAACCUGGAGGUGGUGCGUCUGUUCUUCCGCGUGCUCUCGCUCUUCAUGAUGAUCUUCCUGCUGUGCCACUGGAACGGUUGCAUCCAGUACUUUGUGCCCAUGCUGGAGGAGUUCCCCACCGACUGCUGGGUCCGCAAAGAAAACCUGAUGAACGCCACGGUCAUCGUCAAGUACUCCUGGGGAGUCUUCCGGGCUCUUUCCCAGAUGAUCGCGCUGUCCUACGGCUCCAUGGAUGCCCCCACAAAUUACGUGGAGAUGUGGAUCGUCAUGGUCAGUAUGGUAUCCGGCUGCCUGAUGUACACAGUGCUGGUGGCCAACGCCACUGCCAUGAUCGCCAACACCGACCCCGCCUCCAAGGAGUACAAGAGCAAGAUGUCUCGCCUGGAGCACUACAUGACGUUCAUGAAACUCCCUCCAGAGCUGCAGCUCCGCAUCACUAAUUACUACCAGGCGCGCUACGGCGGCAAAUGGUUCGACGAGCAGGAAGUCAUGCACACCGUGUCGUCGGCGCUCAAAGAGCAAAUCCUGACGGUGAUGUGCAGCCGCCUGCUGAGGAACAUGCCGCUCUUCCGCAGCCGGGACGAGAACUUCCUCAACAGCGUCAUCCACGAGCUGGAGUACGAGUUGUACCAGGAGGGCGACGUAAUCGUGCGGGAGGGCGCCCCGGGUGACCGCAUGUUCUUCAUCGACCACGGCCAAGUGCUGGAGGAGAACGACUCCUUCCGGAGGGAAUUGUGCGACGGCGACUUCUUUGGAGGAGCGGACGAAAGAGACGGACCUGCGGCCCAAGCACUGAUGGAUGAGCUUCAUGGAGUCCUGAAUAGAUAAGCAUGUAUGCGGACCGGACAUUUGUUGGGUCUGUUCCUAUCUCUGGCCAUGUUGUUGUUUGUCAUUGUUUACUUUUGUACCAAUCUGUAGAAAUGGCACAGCUGGUUGCAUUAACUCAGUGUAUUUUUAAUGUCAUUUGUGUUCUUAAAUAUUUUCAUCUUGUCUUGUGUUUUUACCUCUGUUGGUCCACCCUAUCCAGUCCAGCCUGUAGGAUACAUGGAAGAUAGGUCAUCCCUCCAAUAUCCAUCCGAUACUGCCCUUAAAUCGAUAUUACUGAUAUGAGGAUCAAUGCACGCACCUGUUGUUUACAUGCGCUUGAUGAGAAAGACGCUGAAGGUGGUGCGUAUACAAGUGGUGAGGAUGGUGUGACCAUUCUCCAAGAAAACCCGAAGGUCGUCUCCCACCUCCAUUUCCACCACAAUGCUGUUGGUAAUCCUGCUGUUACCGUUAUUGUCGUCAAACACACAUAUCAGCUUGUCAUGGUUGUUCUUCGUCACCCAUGCCCCCAUAUUAUAAUUAUAACAUUUUCCACAGGUGAAGGUGACAAAGUAGAGGCCCUUGAUGGGGACUUUGAAAAUGCCUGCAGGAGGACCAUCAUGCAAUUUGUUAGUAGAAUGUCAAGAAAUGCUGUGAAGUGACAUCAUACCUGUGCUGUCAUCAUAGCCACCACCCACGUUGAUCACCAUCUUAUUGUAGACCAGUAUUUGAUCCCCAUUGCUGGCCUUAGUGGUACCAGCUCUUCCUUCCAGCCCCGCUGAGAACACCACCACGGCGUUGGCUGUGGGGUGACACAUGUAGUUUCAGGACAUAGGUCAACUUUAUUCUUCUUCACUUACCUUCUUCUGCUGCGUUCUUGUCCAGACGUUCCUCCAGAGUCUUCACCAUUUCGACAAGUGGCGUGAGAAAAUGAUCAGGAUCUAAUACUUUGACCAAGUUCUCCAUUUCCAAUUUGUUGUGUGCAGCUUCUGCAAUCUGAUUGGCCAAACAUUCUUGCAGACUCUUCAUCUUGUCCAAACGUUCUUCUUCCAGGGUCUUCAUUUUGUCCUGACGUUCCUCUUCUAGGGUUUUCAUCUUGUCCAGACGUUCUUCUAGACUCUUUACCAUGUCGACAAGUGACCUUCUGCAAUCUGAUUGGCCAAACAGUCUUCCAGGUUCUUCAUCUUGUCUUGGCGUUCUUCAAGGGUUUUCAUCAUUUCCAGACAUUUUUCCAGAGUCUUCACCAUGUCGACAAAUGACAUGAGUGUUUUACAAAAGGAGAUCAGGGCCUAAGACUUUAUAUAAUGUUUUUACCUCAAUUUCCUUUUUGUUUUUUGCACUUUCUGCAAUCUGAUUGUCGAGACGGUCUUCCAGAGUUUUAAUCUUCUCUAGAUGUUCUUUUUCCAGAGUCUUCAUCGUGUCCAGACGUUCUUUUUCCAGAGUCUCCAUCGUGUCCAGACGUUCUUCCAGAUUCUUCAUUUUUUCCAGAUGUUCUUCCAGAGUCUUAAUUUUGUCCAGGCGGUCUUCCAGAGUCUUAAUUUUGUCCAGGCGGUCUUCUUCCAGAGUCUUCAUUUUGUCCAGCCGUUCAUCUUCAAGAGUUUUGUCCAGACGUUCUUUCAGAGUCUUUGUCGACAAAUUAUCUUCUGCAAUCUGAUUGUCUAGACGUCCUUCCAGAGUCUUUAUCUUGUCCAGACGUUCGUCCUCCAGAGUUUUAAUCGUGUCGAGACGUUCUUUUUCCAAGGUUUUCAAUGUGUCCAGAUGGUUUUCCAGAGUCUUCACCAUGCCGACAAAUGACAUGAGUUUUAAGAGAAAACAAUUAUGGUCGAAGGUAAUCAAGUGUAAAAAAAUGUUUUUACCUCAAUUUCCUUUUUGUUUUUUGCAGUUUCUGCAAUCUGGUUGUCCAGACGGCCUUCCAGAGUCUUCAUGUCGACAAAUUACGUGGGUUUUUGAAAGAGAAAGAGCUUCUGCAAUUUGAUUGUCCAGGCAGUCUUUCAGGGACUUCAUCUUGUGCAAAUGCUCUUUUUCCUGGGACUUCAUCAUAUCCACAAGUGAUCUGAGUGACUAUACAACAAAAAAUCAGGGUAGUGUCGCGGCACGUCCUCUAUGACAUCAUAACACCCCCCAAAGGACUCAGACGCACCUCAAAGUCAAGAGACUCAUCGUCCCAAGAUCUUUCCAACAUGAAAUAUGACAAACUCUACUACUUCCCUCAUAAACAAAACAUGAAACCUCCCUCACCUAGGACCUGUUUGUCAUGGGAGGUCCUACCAGGGGACAUAGCUCCUAAGACCAUUGAGACAUGCAAACUCCACCACGAUCAGGUAACAGCUCAGGGAGAUUAAAUUUACUUAAAAAAUUGAAUAUAUUUUGUAAAAUAAGUCAAUAGUAUCAUUGAACUUGGGAGCUUUGUGAGAUGGUGAAAGUUGGAGGGUGUCAGGUGUGCUCACCUGGUGUACUGAUGACCGAGUCCAGUGACAGAUGACAGGUUCAAGCCCAAGGAUGGAUGUGAAGUCCGAUCCAGUGAUGGGUGACAGGUCUAAGUUCAGUGAUGGUGGAUAGGUGGAACUGAACUUGAUCUAGGCCCUGGAGCACAUCAGUAACAGACAGGUGAGGUAGUGGUGCAGGUGUGGAGAGAUCGGCAUGCUGCAAGCCAAAUGCCAGGUUGGCAGACGACGUGCAGCACACCGAGUUUAUGACAUUUGCACACGUGUCGCGGCACGUCCUCUAUGACAUCAAUAAACCCCCCCCCAACCAAAGGACUCAGACGCACUUCGAAGACGAGAGACACUCAUCAUACCAAGAUGACAAAAUGCACUACUUCUCUCAUGAACAAAACCUUGAAAAGAUCAAAUUGUCUGUAUUUAAAACAUGUAAUUAUAGUUAUUGUAAUGCACACAUCACAAUAUUAAUAUUAUCUAUAUUUACCAGUACUCUAUAGCACAUAAACCUUUGUGACUUGUAAUAAAUGUACAAGCUGCUUUUAUACCCAAUCAUGGCACCCAACUGUUCCCAAUUAACCUGCACACCUGUGGGAUGUUCUAAAUAAGUGUUUGAUGAGCAUUCCUCAACUUUAUCAGUAUUUAUUGCCACCUUUCCCAACUUUUUGUCACGUGUUGCUGGCAUCAAAUUCUAAAGAUAAUGAUUAUUUGCAAAAAAAUUUUUUUUUUAUCAGUUUGGACAUCAAAUAUGUUGUCUUAGUAGCAUAUUCAACUGAAUAUGGGUUGAAAAGGAUUUCCCAACACCUAUGGAAACGGGGUUUGUACAUUUAUGGUCAUUUGAUCAAAGCGUUACAAAACUAGAAAGUCCAAUGUUUUCAGAAAUUAAAGAAAUGUAAAUCACUGUUUGAUAACCAGGUGCCACAACUCAUAUUUAACAAGCUGAGAACAUUCUUCAGCUUCUUUGCAAAGCGUCGAAAAGGACAACUGUUGUCUUACCAAAGCCAAUUGACCAAAAGCCGGACCGGACUCAGCCAGACCUCGGACAAAAUAAAGACUCUGGAGGAGUGUUGGGGACAACUUGAGGAAGUAGCUGAGAUGUUCCCGAGGAGGCCAAUCUCUCCUCCCCCGCCCCGCAUCACGAGUCAGCAUCGUCCUCCGAUCAGAGGCCUUUAUACUCCGCACAUCCUUGUCAUGAAAGGACCUGGAGUGACAUCACACACGAGACACGUCAAGUUGUGAGCUUCGCCAUGGAGAGAAGCGAACGCUUUGUUACGCCGUCAUCUGCUCGUGUGUCAAUACGUUUAUGACCUAUGAAACAUAUCUAUGUGAGAAAUACCAAGAAAUGAUGCAACAAUAACAAAUAAGGACACUUUAUUCACACAAAUCUAUGAAGUCAGGACUAUCAAAGCAUAUUUCUAUUUCUUUAUAUAAAAAUAAAUAAUUGCAUCUUUGUGCCAUAUUUUUAUUUCUGACAGUCAUUUAUUUUCUUUUUAAAUUUUAAAUAUUUUCUUCCACUGUCACUUUUGUUCCAUAAUUUAACAUAUUCGUGUAUACAUCAUAGGAUUGUGUUAAUACCAAUAUUUUGGUACUGGUACCAAAAUGUAUUUCACUACUUUUCUGAAUAAAGGGGACCA